AUCUAUUGGUACACAACAAAUCAUCCUAACUUAGUGGCUUAAAACAACAAACUCUGAUCUUGGAAGAUAAGUGGGGUCGGGCCUGGUUAGUACUUGGAUGAGAGACCACGUGGGAAUACCGGGUGCUGCAGGCU
rnacentral:rRNA from 1 species